ensembl:processed_transcript BC006965 uncharacterized LOC110305879
ACGCGUCGGCCACUCCACCUCGGGCGCUCUGAAGCCGGCCGCAUGGAGACUGGGGGACGGUGGUAGGAUGGUCCUAGACCCCCUUCCCUCCAUUUCUGCAACCUUGGUGAAUUGAAAAGGGAUCAAUAUCCUUGGUCAGCGCUACUAUACCAGAUGGCCAAGGGACAGAGGAAAAAUGGCAGGGCAGACCCCCUUGGAUUUGCCCACGUGGAGUUUGGAUAUUUACCUGACUUCUUUGUCAAGUCUUGGGCCUGAUGCAGGUAAGUGUGGCGGGGCCCUUGGAGAUCUGUUGGAGCAGUUGCAAGGGGCCACUGUAGGCCAGCAAUCGCCAUGGCUGCAGCAUUGGUGCCAAGCAAGAAAUCCCACCGUGUUCCACACACCAAGGCUGAGGAGGCAUAGAGUUGCCUGCUGCAGAGGAGUAGAGUGGCAGCCCUCUGUCCUUCCAUGAAAGGAGACUCCAUGGGAGACAAUGGUGUGUAGGAGUGCAGUUCACUUGAUGAGGGCUCUUGGAGGGGACCAACCUAGACAUCUCAGCACCUUCCUGUAUCUCUGAGUUGUUCUGGUCUACCAGUUCCCACUAAGCUAUUCCUCCAAAGAUGGUCUGAAGAACCGAGAGCCCCCAGAAGAGUCAAAUCCAAAGCGAAUCAGAGCAGAGUCACCUUUAUUGCUGAAUCGCCUCUCUUCUUGUUUACCAAAUCCUAGUGGUUUUUAUGUGGAGGAGGCAGAGCCUGGGGUCAGGAGACUGUCGGAGGUGGAGGAAAUUUGCAAAAUUCCUGUCUCAGUCUUUAAUUUUUCACUCAUUUUUGCAAAUUUUCUGCUAAACAACCUCUCAUAUAUAUUGACCCAUUGACUAU